rnacentral:lncRNA from 1 species
CUUUUUCUGGUUCUUGUGCACGCACAUAACCUUUUGCAAGAAUGCUGUAUGCAUGCGCAUCAGGUUCUAUGCCCGCCUUCACCAUAUCAUCAAAGAUUUCCCUGCACUUCUCCAUAAAUCCUGCAGUGCUCCACGCAUUCAUGAUGGUACUGAAUGUUAUGACAUCUGGUUUUACUCCAAAUUCUUCCAUCAAGUUGAGAACCUGCAAAUAACGUACAAUGGCUAAAUCCAAUACACAACUGAACCAGAUCUUUCUACCUAACACAUGACAUUGCUCAUGAUUUCUGAAACAGGCUUGUUGUGUAGCCAUGCAAACUCACACACCAUAAUUUCACUCCUACAUACAGUGGCCUCAUUGCUAGCUCUAAUAGAAUAUAUCGUGAACCGGUGAAUGAAUGAAUAGCAGGUGAGUGCAUGCUUGGAAAAAUAACUGUUGCAAUCAACAGCAAACAGCUUUAUGAUGCUAAAAGCUUAAAAAUUUUUUAUUGCAGCUAUAUUAAACUUGUAGCUGUUUUAAUCACCACCAAGGAGCAGUGUCAUUGAAGGUAAUCACAAUAUCUCUCAAAUGAACAUUAACCAUUGGUCAGAGCUCACCU